GGGAAGGUGGCUCAAUGGUAAGAGUGCUUGUCUUGCAUGCAAGAGGCCCUGGGUUCAUUUUCUCA
rnacentral:tRNA from 1 species